UACGUAUGGUGCAAGCGUUAUCCGGAUUUACUGGGCGUAAAGGGAGCGCAGGCGGCGCGCCAAGUCUGAUGUGAAACCCCGGGGCUCAACCCCGGGCAUGCAUUGGAAACUGGCGGGCUGGAGUGCCGGAGAGGUAAGCGGAAUUCCUAGUGUAGCGGUGAAAUGCGUAGAUAUUAGGAGGAACACCAGUGGCGAAAGCGGCUCUCUGGUCUGUAACUGACGCUGUGGUUCGAAAGCGUGGGUAGCAAACAGG
rnacentral:rRNA from 1 species